rnacentral:tRNA from 1 species
CUCCCUGUAGCUCAGCAGGAUAGAGCGACAGAUUCCUAAUCUGUAGGCCGUGGGUUCGAAUCCCGCCGGGGAGGCCA